rnacentral:snRNA from 1 species
UUUGCUCCUUUGAGCAACGUGUCCGGUGACUGUUUAAAAAAAAUCUGUUCUUAUCAGUUUAAUAUCUGAUACGUCCCCUACCCGGGGACCAUAUAUUAAAUAGAUUUUUGGAACAGGGAGAUGAAAUAGGGGCUUGCUCCGUUCACUCCACGCAUCGACCUGGUAUUGUAGUACCUCCAGGAACGGAGCACCACCC